UUCACUAUAGAUAUCAUCAUAUUCUAAGUUUAUCAAGAAAUACCUUACACAUUAAGGGUCACUUUCUCAUUGCAAACAACAUAUAAUUAGAAAAGCUAAGAAACAAAUGUUUUCAAAAAUCUUUAUGCAUGUACAUGUGGUAUAUGUACCUCAAUUAAUUAAAAUCAUGUGUACAACUAAAAAUAUUUCUUUUAAACAUUGUAUAACUAAUUAGAACAAAAAAAUAAAAAAGUACAACUUGCCAAAACGAGUACAACUUGUAACUUUGGUACAACUAGUGCAUUUUGGCGGCUACACAUGUGUCUUUUGGCGGCUACACGUGUCUAAUGUGGAUCACGUGUUUGUUGUUUGAUCCUUUUAUUUUUUAUUUUUAUUUUUCCUACACUUAAGAAUUUUUAAAAAAUUCAAUUUCAAAUUGAAAUUGAAAGAGGGAAUCGGGAAUCGGGUAUAGCUAGGGUUUAUUGUCCUUUUACUCUCUUCACUUCUUCUCCUUCUUUCUUUCUG
rnacentral:lncRNA from 1 species